rnacentral:rRNA from 1 species
CACGCCGUAAACGAUGAGCAUUAAGUGUUGGAAUAAUUCAGUGCUGAAGCUAACGUAUUAAAUGCUCCGCCUGAGUAGUACGUGCGCAAGCAUGAAACUCAAAGGAAUUGACGGGACCCCGCACAAGCGGUGGAUCAUGUUGUUUAAUUCGAGGAUACGCGAAGAACCUUACCAGGCCUUGACAUCUUCUGCAAAGCUAUAGAGAUAUAGUGGAGGUUAACAGAAUGACAGGUGG